UACAGAGGUCUCAAGCGUUGUUCGGAUUCAUUGGGCGUAAAGGGUGCGUAGGCGGCGCGGUAAGUCGGGUGUGAAAUCUCGGAGCUUAACUCCGAAACUGCAUUCGAUACUGCCGUGCUUGAGGACUGGAGAGGAGACUGGAAUUUACGGUGUAGCGGUGAAAUGCGUAGAUAUCGUAAGGAAGACCAGUGGCGAAGGCGGGUCUCUGGACAGUUCCUGACACUGAGACACGAAGGCCAGGGGGAGCAAAACGGGG
rnacentral:rRNA from 1 species